UCCGGUUGAUCCUGCCGGAGGCCACUGCUAUUGGGGUUCGGCUAAGCCAUGCGAGUGGUGGGCGUUCCGAAAGGGAUGGCCCCGCACACGGCUCAGUAACACGUAGUUAACCUACCCUCGGGACGGGAACAACGCCGGGAAACUGGCGAUAAUUCCAGAUAGGUGAGGGACGCUGGAAUGCCUCCUUGCCUAAAUCCUCCGAGGCCCGAGGAUGGGACUGCGGCCUAUCAGGCUGUUGGCGGUGUAACGGACCACCAAACCUACAACGGGUACGGGCGAUGGGAGUCGGAGCCCGGAGAUGGGGACUGAGACAAGGCCCCAGGCCCUACGGGGCGCAGCAGGUACGAAGACUCCGCAAUGCGCGAAAGCGUGACGGGGGAACCCCAAGUGCCGUUGGUCUUUGAUCGACGGCUUUUAGGGAGUCUAAGAAGCUCCCGGAAUAAGGGCUGGGCAAGUCGGGUGCCAGCCGCCGCGGUAAUACCCGCAGCCCUAG
rnacentral:rRNA from 1 species